CGGGGAAUUUUGGACAAUGGGCGAAAGCCUGAUCCAGCAAUGCCGCGUGUGUGAAGAAGGCCUUCGGGUUGUAAAGCACUUUUGUCCGGAAAGAAAUCCUUGGCUCUAAUACAGUCGGGGGAUGACGGUACCGGAAGAAUAAGCACCGGCUAACUACGUGCCAGCAGCCGCGGUAAUACGUAGGGUGCAAGCGUUAAUCGGAAUUACUGGGCGUAAAGCGUGCGCAGGCGGUUUGCUAAGACCGAUGUGAAAUCCCCGGGACUCAACCUGGGAACUGCAUUGGUGACUGGCAGGCUAGAGUAUGGCAGAGGGGGGUAGAAUUCCACGUGUAGCAGUGAAAUGCGUAGAGAUGUGGAGGAAUACCGAUGGCGAAGGCAGCCCCCUGGGCCAAAUACUGACGCUCAUGCACGAAAAGCGUGGGGAGCAAAACAGGAUUAGAUACCCUGGUAGUCCACGCCCUAAACGAUGUCAACUAGUUGUUGGGGAUUCAUUUCCUUAGUAACGUAGCUAACGCGUGAAGUUGACCGCCUGGGGAGUACGGUCGCAAGAUUAAAACUUAAAGGAAUUGACGGGGUCAUAGCUGUUUCCU
rnacentral:rRNA from 1 species